rnacentral:rRNA from 1 species
CCCUUAGAUGUUCUGGGCCGCACGCGCGCUACACUGACGGAGCCAACGAGUACUUUCCUUGUCCGGAAGGACUGGGUAAUCUUGUGAAACUUCGUCGUGCUGGGGAUAGAGCAUUGCAAUUAUUAAUCUUCAACGAGGAAUGCCUAGUGAGCGCAAGUCAUCAGCUUGCGUUGAUUACGUCCCUGCCCUUUGUACACACCGCCCGUCGCUCCUACCGAUUGAAUGGUCCGGUGAAGCGUUCGGACCGUGGCCUUUGGACGGUUCGCCGUCUGUUGGCUGCGGGAAGUUCGUUAAACCUUAUCAUUUAGAGGAAGGAGAAGUCGUAACA